GAUUUUAUUGUUGUUGUUCUUGUUCGUUAUUGGGUAUUUGGAGUCAAAUUUUAUGUUUUGUAUCUGUUGAGUUUUUUUGUUAAAUUAUUUGUUUUUGUUUUGUUUUGUUUUGUUUGAAUUAUGUGAUUUAAAUGGCUGUUGAAGUGCAACUGAUGGUACUGGUUGAAUUUUUAUUUAGGAAUCUGAAGGUUAAAGUACAGUUGAAAAUAUGCUAUUAUAGUCUGGAAAAAAUAAAUGAUAUGUAAAAGAAGUU
rnacentral:lncRNA from 1 species